ACUUAAUUCAGAUCUGACAGUCGGAAGAGCUAUGGCUUUAUACAGCGCCUGCCGCCACCAGCGGGAGAAGAACAACUAUUUCAUCAGCCUGAACCGACGGCUGCACAUGAUGACACCUGUGUGCCACAACAUCUCUGGGAACAGCCCUGGAGGUGGAUGGAGAAACUUCUGACUGGUAAUUCCCCCUUGCAUUUGGGUGUGGGGGGAUAGAAACGAGAACACCUUUCACACACAGGCUGUGUUACCCCCUGGGAAAUACAGAUAUAUGCAUUGGAUCCAUAGCUUCAUAGACCAGCAUUGUGGUUUUUAUUAUAAAAAGCAAUGGGCUUGCUUUGAGCCUCAUAUCAGUUACUCUUUAAAAAGCUGUUGUUCGUAUCUACAAGGAAGAGGAUGCAAAUACUAUAAUUUCUGUCACAUAUUUGAAAUGUGUUUCUGGAUCUAUAAUAUUCCAUGGGCUUUCCCAUUCCUUAACAAUAGAUACUUAGUCUGAUAAAAUUAAUGUGAUUUUCUUGGACCUGUAUCAGCAGUACUCAUUGGGGACAUAAAACAUACGAUAGCAGACAGAAGUAAAACUUGUGAUGUAGGAGUAAAUGCAAUGGGGAUGGUCUAAAAAAUGCAGGGUGCUUCAAAAAGGUGUACCUGGUUUCAAGGGUAAAGUGAUUUAAAAUUAGGUCCAUCUUUCUGAAACAACCUGUAUAAUCCUAAAUUCACUCUGAUUUUAUUUAUAUUAUCCUGAACAGAAUGCACAUGUGCACAUGGGUAAUUAAAUACCUUACUAGUGCCUGCAUCUCUAGCCAAUAUAAAAUUGUCAAUGUGAAAUGUCAGUGUUGUUUCUGAUAAAGAGAAAUUGCAAUUAGACACAAUAACAUGGAAAUGGUUCCCAGUGGUUACUUAGACUCCUGGAGAGCAAAGAAUCCGUGGUCAAGAUGGACCAGCUUCAUUUUCCAAAUACAUGGCUAGAUUCUUCCUUCAGGUGAGAUCUGCACUCUCUAAUUUAGGCCAAAUACUUCAAAAAACCCUCACAGUUCUUUCAUUAUACUUCCAAUGGACAAAGACAGUUAAAAAAUAACAGGUAUUUUCCUCAUACAUAAUUUUGUCUAGUACUGUUUUGACCUUGUUUUCAUUUUUUCUUUAAUAACUUAAAUAUUAAACUAAUGAAAAAGUACAAUGUUUAUGGCCUUCAUUUUACCAGUUGCUUUUACCAUGUAUUUUCUGACAUCAGCUUUUUCAAGGUUCAUAAACACAUUUACUCAAGUUGCGUGAGAGAGAGAGGAACUUCUGCAUGUCAGAUGGGAGUAACAAACUUUGAAGGGUAUACAUUUGAAGGAAUGAGUGUCCUCAUGACAGAGAAGAUCCUUUUUUCAGCAGAGUAAAAUCGACACGUAGCAGUCUCAUCCUACAGAUGAAUUAACUUCCCAUGCUCACAUAAGAGAUAGCAAUCUGAAUAUAUUUAAUGAAUAUAUAUAAUGAAUUACUCUCAAACUCUCAUUACCUGCUCUCUGAGAUUCGUCAUGACUCUUGGGAUUUUCCCACCGAGCACAGUGUUUCAGGGAGCUGAUCCAUGACAUGGAAGAAACUGGGAUCUCACCUUUCUGAAAUCCAAGUGGUCUCAUGUGCAAAACAUACACUUAAUUUUGCAUGUUGAGUCCCGGGUAUGUACAUUCUCAUUUCAUAACGUGCAGGUCCUUUCUAGCACGUCUGGGUUGUUAACCCAGAAUUUUGUCUUUCACAACCAAGAGAAGGUUUACCCACUAAUAUUCAGCACCUGUUUUCCUUGGUGUGUUAUUAGAACUACAGGUUACGCUUCUUCAUACUCAUUAUUCAUCACAGAUGGCUGGUUGUCAGACGGGGUUCAUUUGUCUUGUACUGGAAGGCACCAAAAAAAGACAAAAACAAGGUACUUGUCUAUUUUAAGCAACUGCUGUAAUUACUAUAGGUUUGUCACAUAUGCAAUUAAGAGAGCAUCUGUGUUCUUACAUCUGUGAAUAGAUGUGAGACAGACUCUUCCUAAAAAUGAAGCUGAAGAAGCUUUUAAUUUGUGACCGAACAAUGUGUGCCAGGGAAUGAUAUAUAGCCUCAGAAAUCUCAAGUGUCAUGGAAAGUUUCUGUCCCAUUCACAGGGAAUGAACCAUUAAGCAUCCCAGGGCUGGGCUGAUGCAUCGUAGGUGCAACACUGGGGCAUGUCGUGGUUGUAGUCACUCAGAACUACCUGUGGUGACUUACUGAAAGUGAUUUGAUGUCUUUAUAAGGUGAUGGAAUUAAUAGAGGUGGCUCUGUCUGUCAAUUUCCUUAUUGAUUUCAAGUAUUUAAACAAGACCACACAUGGAUAUAAAGCCAUUUACUACUUCAAAACUUCAGCAUUUCAGAAUUUAUACUAUCUUUGCAAGCCAAAGUGGUGAAAAAUCUCUGUGUAUCUGGCGCAUUGCAAAUAAAAACAUUAAGAUUUUUCCCUAGAUGUUGUUAAAAUCGGUCUUGAACAAAAGUAGUAAAGAUGCAAAGAAGACUCUCAUACUGCUUUGGUUUCUGCUGCAUGAAAUGCAGCCAGACAGUACUGCAAAUGAGCAAUUAUUUGGUUUCCAGGUUUAUAGUGUGUUUACUAGAAGGUCAUAAAGAAAGGCCAGUCUAUUUAGCUUAUUUCACGAGUUCUGGGAGAGAAUACUGAAGAAAUGAGGGUAGUAAAAGAAGAGGAGAGACCUCAUAACUCAGUUCAGGUAAACUAAUUUUCUGCAGAAAAUAAAAGUAAUUUUGCUUGCAAAGCUAUUAAAAAUUUACCAGUUAUUCAGCAGCAGAGUAAGUAUUCCCAGCCCUCGUCUGCUACUUUGCAGAGCAACAUUCUUAUUUUUAUCAAAUGAUUUAAGAAAUCCCAUUUGCCUAGAAAAUUAUGAUCAGAGAACUUCAGUUGGAAAAGCAGGAAUUUAGAAAAAGUAGAGUAGCUGAAAACAAGGAUGUAGAAAGAAAUAAGUGUGUCCAUGCAAGAUGAUCUGCUUGGUGUUGUAGUCUGAAUUGAUGUAAUCUGUAAUGGGAAUAUUCUCAAGACAAAAAAAUUAACCUUUAUUUUGAAGCAGAGACCUAACUCUGGAAAAUGAAAGAUAGUAUUCUGUUUGUUUAUUGUUUAUAUAAAGGCACAUUUUUUUCUCAACAAAUGUGUGGAAUUAUAAACAUAUAUGUGUGUAUAUUGAUACAUGCCCAGAGAAAACUCAGAGCUCAGAAGCAUUUGUCUGUGUUUCCAACAUUUUGUGCCGGGUUUUCUGCUGAACAAGGACUAGUUUUGAGGAGAAGUGAGGAGUGGACCUGUUGUCUGAUGGCCCUACACAGACUACUUAUGCCAGGACUUUGUAAUUAAGUAAAAAGCCAAACUAACUGGCAUUUGGAAACAAACAAACAAACAAUCCUUUGUUCUACUGUGUUUUCCCAAAAGUAAGACCUACCCUGAAAAUAAACCCUUGCAUGAUUUUUUAGGAUUUUUUGAGGAUGCUUGAAAUAUACACCCUACUCCAAAAAUAAACACUAGUUAGAGUUCAUAAAAAAAGUCAAAUUGAGUAGUGUCCAGGCAGCUAUACAGGUAAAAGUAAUAAAUCUGGGAGCAAAAAUUAAUGUAAGACCCUGUCUUAUUUUCAGGAAAACAGGGUAAGACCAACCCAAUUUUGUAGCACUACAAGAGGAUUACAUAUCACCCUUUAUUUUAUGUACAUUGUAAGUGAACAAGCAAUUACUGCUUUGCUUGAAAGAUUUUCUACACCUCAUGGUUUGUGCAGGAAGGAUUUUGUCUUUCAAGUCCGACACGGUGCUGCCCACGUGCUUUUAUCGGUCAUGCAGUUGCAGGAUGACAAACUCCCCCCAAGGGGUUGGUUCCUCCUGCCGGUCCCCGUGGAGCAGCACGGUCAGCAUGUGUUUUGCUUCCUUCGAGCCACCCUGGGCAGAUGUGGGACAUAACGAGCACUCGAGGUAAUGUAUCUGUGCUGAGCUAUAGCUCUAUUUUACAGCACGAUGCGCUCUUCUGGCAGCAUCCCAAAAUAUAGGAGCUGGUGCCCAGAUUCCUACCGUCAUGAUACGUUCUUACCCACACCGUGCAUGCUCCCGCUGCCCACGUAACCUUUUCCAUCAUCUCACUCCCACUAAUUUCUCAAGGACUGUGAUUAUUCUCUGCCUUUUUUCUGUUUAUUCCUUUCUGCGUGUUAUUUCAUCUCACUCACUCUUCUUCUGAUUUAUUUGCUUUUCAGAGUUGUCUUUGCCCACUGCUUUCAAGUGAAGUUCUGUUGGAUCCAGCCCUACUGCCUGUCAUGCCACAUUCUAACUCUGAGUGGCAGAUUUAAGAAGUUCAAAGUGUCAGAACACUUUAGGGAAUAUUAUGAUGAAAAGUAAAGGAGUAAAAUCCAUCUGAAAAACACUUGCAUGUUUCCCUGCUUGCUUACAGUACAUAGGUAUUUAAACAUGUUUUUUCAAAAGGUAUUUCAUGUGUUUCUAACUUGUGACAUAUGUGCUUUUUCACUUGGUUAUUUUUUUUUCUGUCUUGAACGUAUUCACGGGAAACCUAGUCACUGGUGGGAAAUUAGGAGUUAGGUUUCGUGAUUUCUCUUUUGUAAUUAGCUAUGUUUAUGUGUUUUUUUCUGAAAGAAGCAGUGCUAACAGCUGGUCAAAGAGUUAAUUAUGCAUAGAAAAAGUAAUUUUUGUCUAAAGAAAUUAAUGUGAACAUUUUCAAAUAGAUCAAAAGGCCUAAUGGAUGACUGACUAUUGCUGGAAAUGGUUUGAUGCAUAAUGCAUCUCUGAAACAAAGGCUACAGUCUGUGAAACAAAAAUUAUUCAGUUGUAUUUAAAAUACAUGUACAAAUAACUACAAGUGAGAAUCACAGGCAACUACUGCAGUGUUCAUUUUUGUAGACUUUGCAUUUUCAAAGAGUGGUUGGUGUGCGCUAUUUACAUGGUGAUGUGCAGAGCUAUACCAUGAUAUGAGUGCUUGAUUAUUUGACCUUGAGGCAUUUGACUAUACACUGGCACAUGCAGAAAACUCAUCCAGAAGAAUUUUAGAAAAGCCUGAAAUCUGUUUGUCUUUCCAGAGGUCUGGAGCAGUGAUACAAACUGGCUUAAGAAGAGAAGCCAGAGAGUGGUAGUCAAUGGUGCGGAGUCUAGUUGGAGGCCAGUAUCUAGUGCAGUGCCUCAGGGGUCAGUGCUGGGGCCAAUAUUAUUCAAUAUAUUCAUUAACGAUUUAGACGAGGGAAUAGAGUGUACUAUCAGCAAGUUUGCUGAUGACACUAAGCUGGGAGGGGUGGCUGACACUGGAAGCUGUGCUGCCAUCCAGCGGGACCUGGACAGGCUGGAGAGCUGGGCGGGGAAUAACCUAAUGAAAUUUAACAAGGGAAAGUGUAGAGUCCUGCAUCUGGGCAGGAACAACCCCAGGUUCCAGUAUAGGUUGGGAAAUUACAUAUUAGAGAGCAGUGUAGGGGAAAGGGACCUGGGGGUCCUGGUAGACAACAGGAUGACCAUGAGCCAGCACUGGGCCCUUGUGGCCAGGAAGGCCAAUGGUACCUGGGGUGGAUUAGAAGGGGGGUGGCUAGUAGAUCGAGAGAGGUCCUCCUUCCCCUCUACUCCGCCCUGGGGAGACCACAUCUGGAAUAUUGUGUCCAGUUCUGGGCCCCUCAGUUCCAGAAGGACAGGGAACUGCUGGAGAGGGUCCAGCGUAGGGCAACGAAGAUGAUUAAGGGAGUGGAGCAUCUCCCUUAUGAAGAAAGGCUGAGGGAGCUGGGUCUCUUUAGUUUGGAGAAGAGGAGACUAAGGGGGGACCUCAUUAAUGUUUAUAAAUAUAUAAAGGGUGAGUGCCAUGAGGAUGGAGCCAGGCUCUUCUGGGUGGCCAACAAUGAUAGGACAAGGGGUAAUGGGAUCAAGCUGGAACACAAGAGGUUCCGCUUAAAUUUGAGAAAAAACAACUUCUCAGUGAGGGUAACAGAGCACUGGAACAGGCUGCCCAGGGAGGUUGUGGAGUCUCCUUCUCUGCAGACAUUCAAAACCCGCCUGGACAUGUUCCUGUGUGACCUCACCUGGGCGUUCCUGCUCCAGCAGGGGGAUUGGACUGGAUGAUCUUUUGAGGUCCCUUCCAAUCCCAAACAUACUGUGAUACUGUGAUACUGUGAUACUGUACACUGCUGUACAGGACAUCACCGCCUGUGUCAGCUGGCAUGCAAGAGCGAUCAUGCUUCUAAAUUCGGUGUUUGUGAUUAAAAUCUUGUGCAGAUGCCCCAAAAUACCUUUUCUAUUGAGCAAUCACAGUGUCUUCAGUAAACUCCAAAAUAACUACAGGACACAGGAACAUUCUGGGGUUGUUUUGUUUUGUUUUUCUUUAUAACUGUCUUUAUAACAUCUUCCAUCUCCAAUAUUUUCGGUUAGUGGUAAUACUACCUGAAGGUAAAAGUAUUGACCUAAAACAUCUGAGAUGGACUAUCCUUCCUCUCUGAAGAAAUCCCUUGACAGGUUGUUCAGCAGGCCUGAAAACUUUAGGAAAAGAUGCAAUAUGACUAAAGAGAGAUUACAUUAUUUAUCAUUCAUCACAAGCAGUGGGAUGCUGAAGUACGCCUAGUUGGUCAUGACCAUCAUCUGCUAGCCUCCAAAGCUAAUUAAUCCACCUGAUUCUGACACAGUCAUUCCCUAAUGUUUUUAAACACAAAGAAUCAAACUACAUCUUGGAAAAUUCAUGCUCCCUCUGACACACAUCAUAUUUAUUUUUAAAUUAAGAUGGACCAGCUAUUUUACAGAAAAAGCUCUAGAUGGAUAUAAAACCCCACAUAUGUCCCUUUUGUUCUGAGGUUUAGAGUAGGCUUCCUGGCUUUCUCCUUCUAGUGUCUUGUAAUUGGUAUGGAUUUCCAAUGGAAAACAUGGUGUGAAAUAAAACCCAUAAAAAGCAUUUAUCUGCCUUUCACUUCGAGUGUUUUAAUAAGCUGGUGUGCAGAUCCAUUUUCAUUUGGUUUUGUUACUGUACCAGAAAGCUGACCUGUAUUUUCUUCUGUUAAAAUAUGAGUUCUUAGAUGUGCAGUAGGUUUUUUGGGGCCAUGCAUGUUUUAAUUAAUGUAACACUUCACUGGGACGUUGAGAAGCUUAAUUAAUUCAGUCUUCCACAGUCAGGUGGAAAACAAUGAGUAAUCGCUCAAUACUGCCAACAAUUAUUACAUCCAAAACUUGAUGGCUGUGUCUUUUGGGAAAAGAACUACAUUUUAUCAGAAAGAUUGUGUGAGUACAUGAUACCAUAGGAGGAGAAUAUUCCAUAUAACAGUAAAUUCACCGCUACAAAAGUAAUUCUGCAACAGGGACCCACAUCCGUAUCUUUCCCACCUAAAACAGCCCUGUGACACUCGGUUGAGACCAGCAGUGAUACGUGUGGAAGAGGCCGCAGGUUUUGCUUAUUUAACUAAGGUGGAUUGUCACCUGCUGAGAAUGCCCGUGGUCUCCAUCCAUCAUCACCAGCGUUUUGCAGCUCCCGUAAUUGGAACUCGGAGGGGAUUGUUUACAAGAGCCGCUUCCUCGCAGGGACCAGCAUCGUCUGCCAUGCAACGCGAUCUGGGGGCAGGGUGAUGCCUGUUCGGUCUAAGUCAAAAUGACAUUUCUCCUUGCUGAAUUCAGGUCAACCUGCACUCCAGGGUUGCGCCGAGCUGGAGGACCAUAAAAGCAGCAAUAUUCCACAGGAAUUUGUACUGAGUUUUUCCAUGCCUUCUCUCUUAUUGCCGAUGAUGAAACUUUCUUAGACAUCUUCAAGCACUCAUCUGAACUAAUAAUAUGAUAAAUGGCAUUUUAAUGCUGGACCUGUUUUCCCUAGUGAAUAUGUGCAAUGGUGUUCCCUGUCUCAUUAUGUAUAGAAAGAUAACCAUAUCCAGUGUCUGUACAAAUGUGUGUAUCACUACCUGGCACCAAGUUAUUCGAAACAGCAAGAAGAGACCAUAAAAAAGGGCAAAUCUACUAUUUUUUCAAAUUUCCUAUAUAGAAUAUUUAUCAAGUGACAAGUAUUAAAACAAUAAAACCGUUUAUGAGUCUUUUUGUGCCUAGAAUACAUCAAUGUUCAAUUUUUAUUGAUUUUUUUUUUUUUAAAGUAGUUCUCCAUGUUCAUCAUCAUGGUAGCUUUGGAAAGUCACUGUAGGUGGUGAAAAAUAAAGUAAAGCCUCCUCAGUUGUACUUUGCGUGAGGAAUUAAGGUUGCUCCAGCUGUCCCGGCACAGUUUAGGUGAAAGACCAGGUCAGAAGGUCUGCGAUGGGGACAUGUCCUGUCUUCCUGAAUGGCAGAGGAGGCUCCUAAGUACUUUUGGUUACAUCUGCUGUGACCUCCUGAAAGGAACAGAUGGAAAGGGACAUGAGAUCGGUGGCCUCAAUGAGUCAGAAGGAUUCACCCUUCCAUUUAUUUCAGAAUUAUAGUCUCACUGAAAAGUUGUUUGGCAAGUGGCAAGUAGACUAAAUAUUGUAGAUUUUAGGGAAAAUGUAUGGAGAGAUGUUUACUUAGUAAUGCUUAGAAAAACAUUGGGGGGAUUAGUCAUAAACAUAUAAAUGUGAAUUGACUACACAAUACCUACAUCCUUCUGAUCUUCAUAAGCCAAUGAUCUGUCAUUGACAGGACUUAAAUGUUCAAGGCAGAGUAACAGAAAUGUCAUGUCAUUAGAAUAGCUAAAUAUCAUUGUUUCAUUAUACUGUGUACUAUAUAUAUACUUCGGUAUGGUUUUUUGUACAAUAAAAACAGUAAUUUGUAUUUAUAGCAUGUUUCAUCAACUUCAACAAAAAAUAAUUAAAAAGACAAUUAAAAAAA